CAUGGGAGCUUUGGUGAGGAGUGCCGGGUGCGAGCCCUCUGCACAUAGGAGGAACCCUAGGAGCAAGUGAAACUAGACUAAACACAGAAGAAAAGAAAAAAAAAAAGAUUCUCAGUAAUAUUGGCAUUACAAAUCUAUGCCUUCUAGGUGAAGAGCACCUGUCUGCACGGCAAACUAAUUCAAGAGCUGUCAGUGAUAUAUAAGAAAAGUCCUGCUUUCAAUUAGGAUUUAGAAAGCUACAAGAGAAACCACUCAUAUGCUAACAUGAAGAUAAUCUACAAAAUCAUAACUUUUCUUGAGCCCAUCAGAGAUAUGAGAUCACAAGUCAGCCGGGUGAAGUGAAUUCCAAAGUGCACCUCUCCAAGGAAGAAGAAGGCACGUAAACCAUUUCACCUUUGGCAGGCACAAGGAGAGA